AUGUUAACUUUACGUGAACUCUUGAGAUGGGACAAGUUUUUAUACCGGCCCCUAGUGGUUGUAAAAGAUUUCCUGCUGCUGAUGAACAUGAUGACCCCUUUACCACCUUCUUCAGUGAGAACAGUGCUGGCAAACGCGUCCAGUGAGCCACAUCUGUUGAUCUGGAAGCCUCUGUUAUUGAUGGAGCCCCUGGGAGCAACUAAAACACAAAUGGUGUGAAACUGGCAAUGGCAUUCAGCUGUUAGCUGAUUACAUUGAUUCCAUUUAUUUGUGACCGUUUUCCAGUCACUUCACUCCUGAAGGUGAGUAUUUCAUCUCCAUAUAAACACAUUGUACUCAGAGCCCUUCUGUAAGCUUUGAGUCUCCGUGAGAAUGCAGAUUGGAAAACGCAAAGCGUUUUGGGAUAAUCAAUACUGACGUGGAUCAAUGAAAAUAAUUAUUGAUUUAAUUCAUUAACACACUCCACUUUCCC
ensembl:lncRNA